rnacentral:rRNA from 1 species
UACGUAGGGGGCAAGCGUUGUCCGGAUUUAUUGGGCGUAAAGCGCUCGUAGGUGGUUCGUUGCGUCGUGCGUGAAAGACCCCGGCUCAACUGGGGAGGGUCGUGCGAUACGGUCGGACUGGAGGCCAGUAGGGGGAUGCGGAAUUCCGGGUGUAGUGGUGGAAUGCGUAGAGAUCCGGAGGAACACCAGCGGCGAAGGCGGCAUCCUGGACUGGUCCUGACACUCAUGAGCGAAAGCGUGGGGAGCGAUCCGG